CAAAUAAAUAAAUGAAUCUAAAAGAAGCAAGGGACCAUUCUCUUUAAUUAACCAAGAACCACUUUGUUAAUCAUCGCCUAGAACUGAGCAGAAAGCAGCUGAUACUAAAAGCUAAGCACAUGGGGCCGACGCUGUGGCGUAGUGGGUAAAGCUCCCGCCUACAGUGCCGGCAUCCCAUAUGGAUGCCGGUUCAAGUCCCAGCAGCUCCACUUCCGAUCCAGCUCUCUGCUACAACCUGGGAAAGCAGUAGAAGAUGGCCCAGGUCCUUGGGCCCCUGCACCAAUGUGGGGAACCUGGAAGAAGCUCCAGGCUCCUGGCUUCGGAUCGGUGCAGCUCCGGCCAUUGCAGCCAUCUACGGAGUGAACCAGCAGAUGGAAGACCUCUCUCUCUCUCUCUCUCUCUCUCUCUGUAACUCUGCCUCUCAAAUAAAAAAUAAAAAGGAGGGCCAGGGCGGUGAAUUUGGGUACAGGUGGCGGUGAGGACGCAUACGAGGGAGCCCAAAGAGCUCACAGAAGUGCAUGUUGCGUGCAAGUUGCACACGCGUUUUAAAACUGCUUCACCCCAAAAUAAACUUCUGUCUUGACUCCAGUUUGCACGAACCUCCUGACACUCUUUGGGGUUCAGUUAGUGACCUGCUUGGGAGGCGGCCGCUUCGCUCUCCCCGCAGGCUUCUCAGGGCUGGGGUCAGUCGGGCCCGGGUUCAGUCCUGGGGGCCGGUGACCGAGCCCCUCGACCUGAGGCUGUGGGGCAGUCGGUCCCAGGGCUGCUGGCAGCUCGCCAGGUUUCCUCGCUGUAGGCGUCCACCAUUUGUAGCCACAGUCUCAGGGCUGUUGCGCCCGCUUAGGGUUCUCCCGGGAUCCGUCUUUUAGAAACUUCCCCUCUUGAUAAAAAUAAUUCCUCGUGACACUGGGGCUGGUGAUCCAGCUGCAGGAGUGGGCUGCGAACCCUCUGGCCCAGCUGGUCCACGCCCACGCAUUUGUCCUGCCGUGUGGAACCGUGGGUGCCUGGGAACACGCACUGCCGCGUUGCCAUGACAACACACAACAGGAGGCAGCCCGGCUGCUCGCAGGGAAAACCGCCCCGCGCACGAGCGCUGCUGAGUGGGGACCCCGAGGGCGCGGAGCGGCUGUUGGGGGGCAGGGCCCGGCUGCCUCUGAAGCCCUCUGCUCCAGAAGACGCCCACUGAACUACAAUGCAGCAAUCCGGGGCCAGCGCUGUGGCACUCGGGUAAGUCCAGUCUGCGACACCAGCAUCCCAGCAUCCCGUACGGCGCCGGUUCGGGUCCGGCUGCUCCACUUCUGCUCCAGCUGCCUGCUAACGCCUGGGAAAGCAGUGGGGGAUGCCCGAGAGCUUGGGCCCCGCACCCGCGUGGGAGACCCGGAUGGAGCUCCAGGCUCCUGGCUUCGCCGGCCCAGCCCCAGCUGGUGCAGCCACUAGGGGGUGAGCCAGUGGAGAAAGUGCUCGCUCGCUCUCUCUCUCUCUCUCUCGCUCUCUCGCUCUCUCUCUGUAACUCUGCCUUUUAAGGAAAUACAUACAUGAAUCUUUAUAAAAAUCCAAUAAUUGUGAAAUGCAA